rnacentral:rRNA from 1 species
GACAGAGGGUGCAAACGUUGCUCGGAAUUACUGGGCGUAAAGGGUGCGCAGGCGGCUCCGCAUGUCGGGCGUGAAAUCCCCGGGCUUAACCUGGGAAUUGCGUCCGAAACUAUGGAGCUGGAGUGUGGCAGAGGGAGGUGGAAUUCCACGUGUAGCGGUGAAAUGCGUAGAGAUGUGGAGGAACACCGAUGGCGAAGGCAGCCCCCCUGGGCUAACACUGACGCUCAUGCACGAAAGCGUGGGGAGCAAACAGG